AUCAGUAUUGGCAUGAGGACAGACAAACUGACCAAUGGAAAAGCACGUACAGAUACAUACAGUCAACUGAUUUUUGACCACAGCCACCUGUAUGGCAACGAGGAAAGAAAGGAUGAACUCCUCAGCCAGGCACAGUGGUAUGCACCUGUAAUCCCAGCUACUCGGAAGGCUGAGGUGAGAGGAUCCCCUGAGCCCAGGAGCUUGAGACCAGCCUGGGCAACAUAGUGAGAUCCCAUCUCUUUAAAAAAAAAAAAGGAGAGAGAUUAUCUUUGAUAAAUGAUGGAAAUAACGGUGGGUCAGGCUGCCCUCUCCUAUGUGGAUGGGCCUCAUCCAAUCCACUGAAGGCCUGAAUAGAACAAAAGGUUGUGUAAGAAAACAUUCUUUCUCUCUGUGUGGUUGUCUCCAAACUGGGACAUGAGUCUUCUCCUGCAUCCAGACUUGGACCCAGACUGGAACUUAAACCAUCAGCUCUCCUGAGUUUGGACUUCUCAGACUCUGUAAUUAGGUGAGCCAAUUUCUUGUAAUUAAUCUCUUUAUAAACACACAGACAGACACACACAUUCUAUUGGUCUGUUUUUCUGGAUAACCCUAAUACAGAAUGUUAUACUUCAACAAAUAAUUUUUUAACUAAUUGUUUAAGAAAAUACGUGAAUAAAAAAUCUGGCCUGGCAUGAUGGUUCAUACCUGUAAUCCCAGCACUUUGGGAAGCUGAGGCAGGCGGAUGACCUUAGGUCAGGAGUUCAAGACCAGCCUGGCCAACAUGGUGAAACCCCGUCUCUACUAAAAAUACAAAAAUUAGCUGGGGGUGGUGGCACAUGCCUGUAAUCCCAGCUAUUCGGGAGGCUGAGGCAGGAGAAUCGCUUGAAGCCGGGAGGUGGAGUUUACAGUGAACUGAGAUCAUGCCACUACAUUCCAGCCUGGGCGACACAGUGAGACUCUAUCUCAAAAAACAAAACAAAACAAAACAAAACUUCUCCAGUGACUAAGAUCUAUAAAAAUAUCAUUAAAUGGAAAAUCUAAUGUGAAAAGGACAACAGCCAAAAUUAAGACCUCAAUAGAUGGAGUUAACAGUCAAUGCACAUUGAAGAGAGGUCACUAAACGGGAAGGCAGGUGGAUUAAAAAGCUGAAUGGAGAGAUGAGAAGGUCAGCGAACUGGAGGAUAGGUCCAGACUGAAGUACAGUGAGAGGAAGAACAUGGAAAGUAUAGAUAGUAAUUUAAGAGGUAUGUUAAAAAUGUUUAAUGUUCUAUCAUUGGGGUUCCCAAACAAGAGGAAAGAGAGAACGAGGCCGGGCAUGGUAGCUCAUGCCUGUAGUCCCAGAACUUUGGGAGGCAAAGGUGGGUGGAUCACUUGAGGCCAGGAGUUUGAGACCAGCCUGGCCAACCUGGCGAAACCCCAUCUCUACUAAAAAAAAAAAAAAAAAAAAAUGCACACACAAAAAAUUACUUGGGUGUGGUGGCACAUGCCUGUAAUUCCAGCUCCUCAGGAGGCUGGCACAUGAGAAUCGCUUGAAUAUGGAAGUCAGAGAUUGUGGUGAGCUGAGAUCCUGUCACUGUACUUCAGCAUGGGUGACAGAAUGAGACUCUGACUCAAAAAAAAAAAAAAAAAA
rnacentral:lncRNA from 1 species